rnacentral:rRNA from 1 species
UGUGUGUUCCAGGUAAAUCCGGUUCACUUUAACACUGAGGCGUGACGACGAGGCACUACGGUGCUGAAGCAACAAAUGCCCUGCUUCCAGGAAAAGCCUCUAAGCAUCAGGUAACAUCAAAUCGUACCCCAAACCGACACAGGUGGUCAGGUAGAGAAUACCAAGGCGCUUGAGAGAACUCGGGUGAAGGAACUAGGCAAAAUGGUGCCGUAACUUCGGGAGAAGGCACGCUGACACGUAGGUGAAGUGAUUUACUCAUGGAGCUGAAGUCAGUCGAAGAUACCAGCUGGCUGCAACUGUUUAUUAAAAACACAGCACUGUGCAAACACGAAAGUGGACGUAUACGGUGUGACGCCUGCCCGGUGCCGGAAGGUUAAUUGAUGGGGUCAGCGCAAGCGAAGCUCCUGAUCGAAGCCCCGGUAAACGGCGGCCGUAACUAUAACGGUCCUAAGGUAGCGAAAUUCCUUGUCGGGUAAGUUCCGACCUGCACGAAUGGCGUAAUGAUGGCCAGGCUGUCUCCACCCGAGACUCAGUGAAAUUGAACUCGCUGUGAAGAUGCAGUGUACCCGCGGCAAGACGGAAAGACCCCGUGAACCUUUACUAUAGCUUGACACUGAACAUUGAGCCUUGAUGUGUAGGAUAGGUGGGAGGCUUUGAAGUGUGGACGCCAGUCUGCAUGGAGCCGACCUUGAAAUACCACCCUUUAAUGUUUGAUGUUCUAACGUGGACCCGUUACCCGGGUUGCGGACAGUGUCUGGUGGGUAGUUUGACUGGGGCGGUCUCCUCCUAAAGAGUAACGGAGGAGCACGAAGGUUGGCUAAUCCUGGUCGGACAUCAGGAGGUUAGUGCAAUGGCAUAAGCCAGCUUGACUGCGAGCGUGACGGCGCGAGCAGGUGCGAAAGCAGGUCAUAGUGAUCCGGUGGUUCUGAAUGGAAGGGCCAUCGCUCAACGGAUAAAAGGUACUCCGGGGAUAACAGGCUGAUACCGCCCAAGAGUUCAUAUCGACGGCGGUGUUUGGCACCUCGAUGUCGGCUCAUCACAUCCUGGGGCUGAAGUAGGUCCCAAGGGUAUGGCUGUUCGCCAUUUAAAGUGGUACGCGAGCUGGGUUUAGAACGUCGUGAGACAGUUCGGUCCCUAUCUGCCGUGGGCGCUGGAGAACUGAGGGGGGCUGCUCCUAGUACGAGAGGACCGGAGUGGACGCAUCACUGGUGUUCGGGUUGUCAUGCCAAUGGCACUGCCCGGUAGCUAAAUGCGGAAGAGAUAAGUGCUGAAAGCAUCUAAGCACGAAACUUGCCCCGAGAUGAGUUCUCCCUGAGACUUAAAGUCUCCUGAAGGAACGUUGAAGACGACGACGUUGAUAGGCCGGGUGUGUAAGCGCAGCGAUG